CUUUUCUUUUGCUUUUCUACCGAUGCGGGGCCUUUUUGCUUCUCAUAUUUCUUGAGCAUUCAAGUGUAAAAAUGGUGUUCAAAGUCUCCAAGUAAUCAUGCUUGAAUACCUUCAAAGCCUAAGUGGUUUUUGCACAGGAGACGACUUUCCUUUUGAAUGGUCAUCCUUGGAACAACUAAGAGUGAGAGAGUGGCCCAAAAUGAAGAUUCUCGCUGCCGUUGCCACUACUUCCAGCGGGAUCCAAAGCACACCAACACUGAAGGAACUUGUAUUUGAUUACUUCGAGAAAAUACCGCUACACGGGAUGGUCUUGAAUCAGUUUGUGCAAAUCCAUUUCAAAACAGAGUGGACUGAAGUCUUAUGUUGAGCUAUGAUUACCUGCCGGAUGAGGAAUCCAAGUCCUGCUUGUUGCUUUGUGUUUUGUUUCCUGAGGAGGCUAACGUCUCAGUAGAAAUUUUGGUUCGAUUUGACUCUGAGAAGUUGGAGGAACAUCUUUCACAUAUCUAUAGUUUCUGUACCGGGAGAUCUACUUUGAAGACUUCUACUUCUGCCGCUCCCUCCAGGGUCUUCUUCUGAUUAUGCAAACGCACUUCAAUGUCAAUCAAGUAUUGCUAGCAGUGAAGAAGGCUGAGAUUGUACAGGGGCGUGCUUGUUGUCCUUAGUGUUUCUGAACAGGAGCCUCACUUUGCACUAUUUGGAUGCUAAUUUAAAUAAAGUUCAUGUUUACAUUUUAGUUUGGCUUUGAAUUAGUCAUCUAAAUUCGACAUUGUGAUAUACUUGAUUGUAUUGUACAUUUUCAUAAUACCUCGUGAUCUAUAGAAGAAAAUCUUUUCAAC